rnacentral:lncRNA from 10 species
GGUUGGUGCCGGCGUUUGCUGGCUGUCGGGUGGCUGGGCCCAGCGCGCAGCUGCGGAGCGCGGCGGGCGGCCCCUUGGAGCUGCCCGGGGAGCUGCGGGCACUCGCACCUAGCCAUUGUCGCUCCUUGCGCGGUCCGCAACGGAGAAGUAACUCAAGUCUGAGUGUUGUUGGUGCGAGAAUGAGAGAGUGUUCUGGUGUGGGAGUAUUUUGGCCCAAGUGCCUGCGAAUUCGAAAACGAAAACCCAGCAGUGGCUGCACGCUUCUGGUUUCCACACUUUCACACAAAGGGGAGCCUUCGAGCGGGGCACUCUCACGCGCCUUCAAGUGCACAAAAGCCAAUGACACGGUGCCGUGGGUUGCCCUGUGUAGGAGCGUCUCUUUAAUGGGCUUUGUAGGCACAGUUAAUGCAUACAAACGCCUCAGUCUAUUUCUUCACCACCACCAUUCCCCGCCGCGGCGUUUUCUGUAUUUGUUUCUUUAACAAAGAGCACAGCCUGUCCGGUGCGCGCGGGGCUCCUUUUGCUCCCCUCCAGGGCUCCUGCAGCCUCGCCGCGAUGGACCUGGCACCUGGCGCGGUAUUCACCAGCUGAUUUCUGGGCUCCAGCGUUACCCUUUUUACGGCUUCACAACCAGUCUGGAGCAAAGAAGAAACACUGAGGAAUAUAAGUGAUAGCUGUUCUCUUGAAAGGGACGUGGGAACCGUGGAAAUCACCCUAGAGUAAGGCUCAAAUGUCAGAAAGCUGCAGGAGGCUCCAGAUUUAAAUCCCUGAAGAGCCUAAGAAUGUAAUGAUCUCUUUCUUUUGUUAAUACUGCUGUUGCCUCUAUUUUCUUGGGGGUGAGUCUUCUCUUCCUUUCUUAAAAAGCAACUCUGGGCCGGGCGCAGUGGCUCACGCCUGUAAUCCCAGCACUUUGGGAGGCCCUGGAGGGUGGAUUGCCUGAGGUCAGGAGUUCGAGACCAGCCUGCCUAACAUGGUGAAACCCCGUCUCCACUAAAAAUACAAAAAUUAGCUGGGCGUGGUGGCACACGCCUGUAGUCCCAGCUCCUCGGGAGGCAGGAGAAUCGCUUGAACCCCGGAGGUAGAGGUUGCAGUGAGCCGAGAUCGCAACACUACACUCCAGCCUGGGCGACAGAGCAAGACUCCUUCUCAAAAAAAAAAAAAAAAAAAAAAAAAGGCCGGGCGCGGUGGCUCACUCCUGUAAUCCCAGCACUCUAGAAGGCCGAGGCGGGCGGAUCACCUGAGGUCAGAAGUUCAAGACCAUCCUGGCUAACACGGUGAAACCCCGUCUCUACUAAAAAUACAAAAAAUUAGCCGGGUGUGGUGGUGUGUGCCUGUAAUUCCAGCUACUCGGGAGGCUGAGGCAGGAGAAUCGCUUGAACCCGAGAGGCGGAGGUUGCAGUGAGCCCAGAUCGCACCAUUGCACUCUAGCCUGGGCAACGAGAGCGAAACUCCGUCUCAAAAAAAAGCAAGUCCGAGGGCUCUUAUUCUUAUUUAAGAAAUUUUUACUCUUGAACACAGAGGAAACCUGGAGACCGUGACUGUUAAUCAAAGAUCCUCUUAACUCUUGACAAAGUUUUCUGGAUUCCUGAGUUCUAAAUCAUGGGACUGUUGACACCCUUUUGAACUAAAGAAUUUGUAACAAUUUGGUAACAUUCAAAUCUUUAAUACACAAUAAACAGGAUUCUGCAAACAGAGCACCCUUUCUAAGGGAGUCUUUUUAUCUCACUUCUUGUAAAUAACUUAUCACUUAUGGGAACCAUUGCCCAAUUUGAUAUUUGUAAGGAAUUAAUUAAUAAUCAAUAAUAUUGCAUCUUCAUAACAUAACAUAGCAUACUAAGGAGCCGGCAAAGACAAAGACUGAUUCCUGUUGUUAGGGACAGAUAUCACCUGCCAAGUCACAUAAUUUCUGUUGUCAGCCACGUUGAGAAGAAAUUCUCUCCCACUGCCGAUUGGCAGUAAGCUGGAAAGUCCCAGGUGGAUAACAGUGGUAGAUAACAUUAUUGUUCCCAAUUUUUCACUACUCCAUGCAUGCAUGCCAUUUGAAAUACGGCUUUGUAGUUCCUCUCAGUAGAGAUAGGAUGUUUCUCCAUCCUGUUCAUGUUGAGCUUAGAUCAGUCCAUUUGCUUUUGGUCAAAGGAAGAUAGGCAGAAGUGAGUGUGACAGUUCUGAGCCUGGCCUCAAGAGGUAUUUCAUGUUUCUCCUUCCCUCUCUGGCACUCUUGUUUUUCACAAUGUGAAGAACAUACCUGGCUAGUUUGCUGGUCAAAGAAAUAUGAAGCAGGUCUGAAGCCAGUCCCAGCUUGGGGUCAGCAACCUAGAGAAUAAAGGAUUGUUGUUUCAAGCCGUGUUUUGGAGUAAUAGCGUUUUGGAGUAAUAGUGUUUUGGAGUAGUUGGUUCCUGGAAUUAGUGUUGUGAUAGCUGACUGAAACAACAGCAGAAAGAGCAAUCUGCUUCCUUCAUAUUGGCCUGCAAGGUGCCUAACUUGGUGUGUCUCAGGCAGCUCUUUGGCUAUGGUUCUUAAACACAUCCCUUAUGGAGGCCAGCGGAGUAAGGAACCCAGAAAUUUUACAGCAAGCUUGUCCAACCCAGGGCCUGCAGG